CACCAACAUGACCAGAACCGAUAAAGUAGGAUCGCAACAGUGGACAGCUGAAUAGGCUGGUCACUUUCACUCCCAUACGAUAAAAAUAAGGGGUAACCUCGCGUUUUUAAAAGUUUUUAAAACUGAAGAGCCACCAAAGUUUUUAUCCUCAUCAGGCAUAAGAGAAGGUGAUAUCUGUUAACAACUUUUCAGCUCAGUAGCUCGCUUCGUCUGAAAACAAGUACGUUUUUAAUUUCAGAGUUAUGGCGGUGCGUGACAUAAAGCUAUGAACGCGGUCAAGAGAAAAUCAGGGCCGCGAUACAUGAAUAACGUGAUCCCGCGAAACGUUCCCGCGUAAAACCGUCUUCCGUGAGAACUUUUCGUGACGCAAGGAAAAAACAAACAAACUGGUAACGAAAGAGAAUCCAACAUGGCGGCGGGAGUUUGCAGUUUUAAGGAGGAUUAUAAACUUAUUUUGGUGCCAAAGGUACAAUGAAUACGUCAUCUAUGGCAUGAUUUACCUUAUUAAACAUAUUUGUGCUCGUCUGGUUGGGAUUUGUGUGCAAAAAAGUGGUUUUGGUGGCUGCAGAACAGUGAAAUGAAGAGUGCUUGUUCGACCCCUCACACGGUACCGCUCAGUGACUAACAAAAGCAAAACUCCUAAAGACCAAGGACAGACUGGAUAAAUAAGACAAGAGGCAACAAAAAAAUAUAGAAGAAAGGAGGGAGCUUUCGAAUUGUUGAUGGACUGAACGUCUAAAUGCAACAUUUCUAACGACCAGAUAUCAAAGCAGAGUCACCUUGACUGACCAGAUCAUCUGGAUGGACGGUGGACAAACCUUGAUAGACAGUGGAGAAAUGAUAAAGGACAGUGGAAAGCCCCAAAUGUGCAGACCCUCAGGAUGCUAGAUAGCUGAGGUCAUAACAACACAGUAUGGACUUUGGAGAGACUA